rnacentral:lncRNA from 10 species
CUCAGUAUUUCUGCUCUAAUCAAUAUUAUCAGGUGCAGCCGUAUUUCACCAUUGAAAGGACAAUGAUCGUGUGCCUGCAAGGAGCUUGCACAGAGAAGGAGCUUAAAUUGAGUUUAAUUAAGUGCUGGUUGACUUGAACUAAGGACAGAAAUUCAACUGACCAAUUGUUCCAAAUGGAAGAGUCUAUUAUUUCUCAACAGGUGGAUCAAAAACUGAACAAGAAUGUUAGUCUAACAUUCAAAAUCUUCCAAAAUCUGGCUCUUUUAUGCAUCACGAUGCCCCUAGAACCCAGUACAGCGCCCCAUAGAUAAUGUGUUCAGUGAAUAAUUGUUGAAUAAGUGAAUUAAGUAAUGUCUCCAACCUUUGCUUCCAAUCUUAUCUUCCACUAUGUCCCAGCAUGAGACCUCCACUCAUGGUUUCCUAAAUACUAACUUAUUCAUUCCUACCUGCAAGCCUUUGCUCACAAGACUUCCCCACAUGCUAUGUUCACUCCUUCUUCCUUUAUGCAAAUUUGUCUCACUUUUUCUUUUCUUUUUUUUUUUUUUGAGACAGGGUUUCUCUCCCGCCGCCCAGGCUGGAUUGCAGUGGUACGCUCUCGGCUCACCGCAACCUCCACCUCCUGGCCUCAAGCAAUCCUCCUGCCUCAGCUUCCUGAGUAGCUGGGACUACAGGCACAAGCCACUACACCUGGCUAAUUUUUGUAUUUUUAGUAGAGACGGGGUUUCACCAUGUUGGCCAGGCUGGUCUCGGACUCCUGACCUCAAGUGAUCUGCCUGCCUCAGCUUCCCAAAGUGCUGGGAUUACAGGCGUGAGCCACCAUGCCCGGCCUGUCCCGCUUUUCAAGGUGUGAUGGUUUUGAACUGUGUCAACUUGGUUAAGCUGGAACCACAUUUUCCAGGAUCUCUUUUCCUGUAUGAUUCCAGGUUUAAGUUGACCAAAAGAGAAAUUUGCAAGAGUUCUGGAAAGAACCUCCUGAUUAGAUGUGGUGAGAGACAUAAACAAAGGGGUUAACAAGUUCAAACUGGUCCUCGAAUCUCAGUGUUCUGAGAGCAGCUCUCCUACCUGACUGCUGGCCCUGAUGACCACACCAACUCCCCGCACCCAUCACCAGAUGCAGAGUCAACAACCUUCUAUUGGCUUCUCCAUCAGUUCUCUAUGGUAGUCCCACCCCAGAGCUAGAUACCUGUGGCUUCCCAGAUUUCCCUUGCAAGCUCCCACUCAUCCACCCAUGGCAGUGUUUCUGAUCAUUGAAAGCAUGGAUGGCAGAAAAGAAAAGAAAAAAAAUCUGUGUGUUUAUUCCAAUGGGUAGAAAGUAAAUUUAAAAGUUUACUCUAUUGGGUAGAUGAUGGCCAAAGUAAACCAUUCUCCCUAAUCCUUGCAAUUACUCACAUACAACCUCCAUGCUAAAAAGAAAUAAAAAGUAAUAAGUAGCAAUUUGAUAUCUGAUCUUCCAGCUUUCCUUUCUCGACCUUGUUUCCCCAGAUGCUUCCACAAUUAUGUAAUAUCUAAUUGUUAUAAUCAGUUCCUCAUUCAUAACACUCAUAGUGGUUCUGCUUACCUGAUCAAACCUUGACUGAUACACGAGGCUCAGUUCAUGUAACUGCUAUUCCUUGAUCCCUUCUCUGACUAUUCUAGAGCAAUUUCUCUAUGCUUCUUUGGUACAAUGUGUUUGUGGCCCUCCACUGGCAUUAGUCAUAUAUUAGCUUGUACUGCAUUUACAUCGACAUAGGCCUUCAUGGUUCUAAGUGUAUGGUUGGUAUUUAGGAAGAGUUUAAUGAAUAAAUGAAAAUUUACACAGCCUAUGUGUCACCAUUCUCACACAUAGCAAACAUUAUUUAUUGAUCCCACCUCUUAUUCCCAUGACGCUUGAGCUAAGCCUUACAAUCCUUUUCAACACAGUGCUACAGAUAGGCAGUUGGAAGUGGCAUGGAUGAGGAAACCAGUUUUUCAUGCAGUUUCCGUAAGUCUGAGUAUGAAUUAUACUUUUUAGGCAAAUUAAAUAGCGUCAAAGGUCAUAGUGCAUGUACAGAUUGAAGCUCAGAUGCUACUUCCCUUCCCUACUUCCCACUCUACUGCCCCUAUUUUUCACAUAGUAGAUCCCCAAUAAGUAUUUGUUGAAUGAGAGAAUGUUAGUGUAACCUUCACAAAUGAGCUGUGUGAGCUCUACAAGCCAAAGUGACUCAACGAAGUUCCAAUCUUUUUUUUUUUUUUUUUUUUUUUUUUCUGAGAUGUAGUCUUGCUCUUUUGCCCAAGCUGGAGUGUGGUGGCCCGAUCUCAGCUCACUGCAACCUCUGCCUCCCAGGUUCAAGCAAGUCUACUGCCUCAGCCUCCCAAGUAGCUGGGACUACAGGCGUUAGCCACUACACCCGGCUAAUUUUUGUAUUUUUAGUAGAGACAGGGUUUCACCAUGUUGGCCAGACUAGCCUCAAACUCUUGACCUCAGGUGAUCCGCCCGCCUCAGCAUCCCGAAGUGCUGAGGGAUUACAAGCAUGAGCCACUGCACCCAGCCCCCAGUCCCACCUUUUAAAAUAAUGAAUAAGCAAAAGGCCAGAUAGAGUGAGCCUCUUGCAUUUUAAGAAGCCCAUUCCAGCCAUAACAGUCCUUUCUGAGCUAAAGAAGGCAAAGUACAAACACAUCCAGGCCCCAACUAACAACAACCAAAAUGUCACAUGUUGUCAGGUACUUGGAAAGAGGGAAAACCUUUCUAGCUUUUUUCCUUCUGGUGUUAUUAGCCCACUGCUUGGCAAUGACAUAGAAGGAAGACUGUGAAGAAGAAAAGAAGUUGGAGGGAAAGUUUGGAUUCAAAGGAGCCAGGUAGAAUUAGGUAGAAAAUACAGGGUCUAGAGAAGGAUAUUUUUUGUUCAUUUCUGAAAAAGGGACCCAAAUAAGCACGAUUGAUUUGACACUUGGAAAUACUAUUUUUGGUUUUCUCUCUUUUCCUUAAUUUUGCCCUAUCAACCAAGACCCAUAUCUCUAAGAAUUCUGUCAGGUACUUCCCAUUCCUGUGUUCAUUCUCUUAUUUCCUAUUCCUGUGAAUAAAAUCAGAUGAUGCCUCUGAUAAUCCUGGAAACUGAUCACUGAAAGCAUGGAUGGCAGAAAAGUAAAGAAAAAAAUCUGUGUGUUUAUUCCAAUGGCUAGAAAGUAAAUUUAAAAGGUUACUCUAUUGGGUAGAUGAUGUCCAAAGUAAACCAUUCUCCCUAAUGCUUGCAAUUACUCACAUACAACCUCCAUGUUAAAAAGAAAUAAAAAGCAAUACUGGUCUUUCCUGUUCUCAUUCUCACUUGAAAAUUGUGUGUCUGGUUUCUGUUGGUUUCUCAUUGGAAGAGAAAUUUUAAGAAUACCUCAAUUCAAUUGAUGUGUACUCACAUGCUGAAGUCUGGGGUAUGCACAAGCUAACAAGAGCUAUGCUAGGGUGGGGUGUGGUGGUUCACACCUGUAAUGUCAGCACUUUGAGAGGCUGAGGUGGGAGCACUGCUUGAGCCCAGGAGUUUGAC